UUUACUUAUUAUUUAUUUUCUAUUUUUAAAUAAUAAUGCCACAUGUCAUCUUUCGAGAGAAGUUUUUUUGCUGAUGUAGACGCUCUAUGGAGUCUCAAAAGGUUGUAUUUUUUCUUGGUUUUCGGUUAAGUCCAUAUUCGGUUGUGGUUUUUGUUUUUUUUGGUGGCUUCACAAAGUUUCCUAAAACAAAAUUUUUUUGACUCAAUUUUUUUUUCUAAUUUCUUUUCAUGAGUAUCAAUACUUAUGUUGUGUUGUAGAAACAGAUCAAGACUCAAGAACAAGCUAGACUUGUUUUUAUCACUAAGAAAACAUUUUUUGUUCAAAGAGUAUACCUGGUUCAAGUUUCUUUUAAAGAAUGUAUAAUGUUAUCAAAAACAUAAUUUGAAGCUCAAAACUCUUUUAUUUUGUCAAGACCAAAACGUUUCUCUUCUUCAGAAAUAACAAACACGAACAAACUAGUGUUACACUAAACUAAUAUUAUCAGGGUUUUUUAUAGUGCCUAGAGUCAAGAGAGAAUGAUUUAGCAUUUGUCACACAAGAGUUGCGGAAAGCUCUUGAUUCACUCACUCUUGUUUAUGGAUAUGAAACACCAAGACAACAUGAGAGGUUGUCGAUUGACCAGAGUUCACACUCCCUGAUAAUCAAGUUGUUCGUAAGAACAAAUGAAUCAUCAAAGUAAUUUUGUUGAGAUUUUUUUCUCGGGAAAAAUAUACCUUUUCUUGGGGCCUCUUGAUUAAAAACUUAGACAUAAACUUGCUAGGACAUGUUUGCAUGUGUUCUUGACUUACUCUUGAUGGAAGAAUGCAUUGAUUUACCAGAACAAACAAAAAUUUCAUUUGGCCAUCAGGUGGCCUUCAUAAGCCAAUAUUACCGAGAAAGUGAAUGCUUUGUCCAUCUCUCAAUUCACCAUGAUCCAGGCUGAUUUUUGCUCGAUUAGAGUUCUCCAAAAUUCUCUUUGAGUUCUGGUUGGUGAUUCUUUUCCCAAAGCUUUUCCUUCGUCUAUUUUGGGUAGUCUUGAUCAGUUGCAAAGCCGGCUGGGGUUGUCUCAAAAGCUAUAGCUUUAUUCGCAGUCAAAAAUAUGAUGAUUUUUGCAUUACUUCUUAGCCUAUUGAUUUUGGGCAAUUCUCCUAAAUAGACUCUUUUAAUUUUUCAUCCCAAAAGUAGCACCUCAAGCUGAAAAUCACAAAAAUAAAUUCAUUAAUAGGCUAGAAGACUUUAAUACCCUUACAUAUCAAUAUAAAUAUAAUAAAAAAAAAACUUUUGUUUCGCUCUCGACAUUCUCGUCGACGAAACCGGAGACGAACACCGGCGACGACACCGGCGACGACACCGACGAUGAACACCGGCGACGACACCGACGAUGAACACCGGCGGCGACGACAGUGUUAAAAUCACGGCGAAUCUACAUUGUAAGUUUGAAUGUUUUCAAUUGUUAUUUGUAAUUAAGAAUUUUUGAUUCAAAAUUUGGGAGUUUCGCUUCGGUGAUGUUGCAGGAGAAUUUCAGCUGAAACAAUGGGAACCUUUUUUUUAUUCUCAGUGAAGCUUACCAUGGCUAUGGAGAUGAUUGGGUUUUUGUCAAGAUCUCUUCUUCACUUCUGGUUUCAGAUUUAUAGGCUUGGAGCUUCUAUUGUCAACACUUCACUACCCCACACGGAUUCUGAUUUACAGAACAGAUUUGUGAAUCCACAAAUCCUGCUAUAGACAUGCAAUGUUCAGGUGCUGAAGAAAUCUUGGGUGGUUCUAUCUACGACCCAGCCUACUACACGUCUCUUUUUGAAGAGACCGAAACCAACUUGAAUUCACCAAAGGCAUUACCACUGUGCUUUAUCUCAAAGACGAGAUCACAAUUGCCACACCUGGAGCACUAGAUAGGAAAAGAGAGCACAUGGUAUAGUAUCAUUGUCCCAUGACUCAUGUGAAACCUUACUCACAACAUCAUGCAAGAACGACAUAUCUGAUUUUUAAUAUAUACACUUCUAAACUUUUCAUAGUAAUUGUCUAGUACUAUGAGAAAGUCCUCAUUUUGAACUUGUUUAGUUGUUUAAUUUACAUUUGAGCUUGUUUUGUUGGAGUCUUUGGCUUAGUAAGAAUAUUAAAUCUCUUUGCCUUCUCACUAUGCAUUUAGAACAAUACUCUAAAUUGAUGUGAUUAAACACAUGCUUGUAACCAAAGUCAGGUUUUCUUUGGAUGUAUUUUGCAUCUUUAUUUCAUAAUUGCCACUAGUUCCGGAUGGCUAUCCUAAAUUUGAACACCUGGAGCACUAGACAAUAAAUUUGAACACCUUGAGCACUAGUUCUAGAUGGCUAUCCUAAAUUUGAACACCUGGAACACCUGGAGCACUAGUUCUGAAGACUUUGUUCUUGUUCGGGAUGACUAUCUUAAAUUUGAACAAAGUCUUACAAAACAAUUCAAAAAGAAUAAAAUUUAAUCUUAAUACAAUCCUUGUUCAGGAUGACUAUCCUAAACUAGAACAAAGUCUUCAAAAACAUUUCAAAAAAGCGAGUAAGGAAAUCUCUAUUCAGGAUGGCUAUCCUAAAUUUGAACAAAGUCUUCGAAAACCGGCAAAUCAAAAAUUUUGCUUUGAACUCCAUUCUCCACAAACACAAAUAAUCUCAACAAUAUGUUGAAAAGUUGUUAAAAAGAUCAAAACCAAAUCUCAAAAAGAUCAACCAACUGUGAAUCAGAGACAUUUGAAUAAAGCCCUCCAAAACAAUUCAAAAGCAUACAAGGUAAUCUUAAGGCAAUCCUUGUUCUGGAUGGCUAUCCUAAAUUUAAGAAAAGUCGUACAAAACAAUUCAAAAAAAUACAAGGCAAUCUUAAGACAAUCCUUGUUCAAGAUGGCUAUUCUAAAUUAGAAAAAAGUCUUCAAAAACAUUUCAAAAAAGCGAGUAAAACAAUCUCUGUUCAGAAUGGCUAUAAUAAAUUUGAACAAAGUCUUCCAAAAGCGGCAAAGCAAAAAACUUUCUUUGAAUUCCAUUCUCCACAAAUACAAUUAAUCUUAACCAUCUGUUGAAAACCCGUUAACAAGAUCAAAACCAAAUCUCAAAAAGAUCAACCAGCUGUGAAUCAGAGACAUUUGAACUAAAUCUUCCAAAACAAUUCAAAAAAACGUGUAAGGAAAUCUUAAGGCAAUUCUUUUUCUGGAAGGUUAUCCUAAAUUUGAACAAAGCCCUCCAAAACAAUUCAAAAAGCAUACAAGGAAUUCUUAAGACAAUCCUUGUUCGGGAUGACUAUCAUAAAUUUGAACAAAGUCUUACAAAAAAAUUAAAAAGAACACAAGGGAAUUAUAAGACAAUCUUUGUUCAGGAUGACUAUCCUAAAUUAGAACAAAAAUCUUCCAAAACAUUUCAAAAAAGCGAGUAACGCAAUCUGUGUUCAGGAUGGCUAUCCUAAAUUUAAACAAAGUCUUCCAAAACCGGCAAAACAAAAAGUCAUAUAUAUCAUAUUUAUAUUAGGAAGAUCCUACAAAUUUCAAAUUGUUUUGGAAGGUUUAGUACAUAAUUAGGAACACUAUCAUGAAUAGUAUAAGAAAAUAUAAAUUCAUUAAAAAACAACACUAAAAGGUCUGAAAUGAUUUACAUAUUGCUAUCCAAACACAAGAUAACCAACUCUCUUUCAAUUUCAAGAUAAACUUUGUAAAAAUUACUUGCUUUGACUAUCGUAUGUUUCAUAUAUGGUGUCCACAUUUAUUAUAUAUUUUAUAUAUGAAAACUUGUUGUAGCAAGUGUUUCUGAAGAUCAAAUUUGUCCCUUGAUGUUUCUCUCUUCUUUGUUUGGAAAACGUCCAAGAACACCAAGAUUCCCAAUACAUAAAGGAUCAAGCUUGUGCCCAUGUAAAAAUCCACAUUUGAAGUUGUUGGUAAGAUAAUUGAUCCAACUUAACAUUGUUGAACCAAAUAACAAACUCUGACAUUGAUUUUCUAGAUCCUUUAAACAAAAACUGACAUUAGCGGUUAGCAAAAGGCACAUAAAAGCAUCUUCUAUCUCUGCAAUUUCAGCUUCUCAUUGUACCAUUCUCCAAUAUAUGUGUGUAUCCAAAAUCAUCCUCCUCUGAAACAUUGCAACUAAAAUGUUUUGUAUAUUAGUGUAAGCCUUUUGCAUAUUUCUUCUUCUUACGUGUAACAACUAAAAAUUCCAUGUGACAUCUACAAAUGGGUUUCAUAUCAGAAUUGAUAACCUGACUUUUGGGAAGCAAAUUCAGUAAAGUAGCUCUUUGUUACUUAAUUUCUAUGAUUUAGGAGCCAACAUAUGUUUCUUCUUCCCAUGCACUUUGUGUCUUCUUAGAAACAUUAUGUCAAACACUUUGUGCACAAUAUUCUUAUUCAAAACAUGAGGCCCUUCCUCCAUAGCUAAUCAGUCCUCAUGAUGAAUCACAACAUCAAUUUCAGGAUCAAUAUUUAUUUCUCCAUAGCUAAACAUUAUGUCAAUCAUCGUUAUGUUACUUCGUAAACAACAUAACCAAUCUAAUUGAAAACCUUCCAAAAUGGUUUGAAAAGAUUUUUUUUUUUCAAAUAAUCAACCGUAGAAGACUAUGGAUAUGAUAUACCUUGAUGAUGACCAUAAUAAGAUACAACAAAACUGAGAGAGAUUGUCGACGUCAAAGCUGAGGGAGAUCAUCGAUGGCAGAUCGACAACGACGGAGCUGAGGGAGAUCGUCGACGAUGGAGCUAAGAGAGACCGUCAUAACUGACUUUGACGGAGCUGAGAGAGAUUUUCGCAAAGCUAAGGAACAACGAUGGCAGAGCUGACAGACGAUGACGGCGGAUCUAGGGGACGACGAAGGAGAGUGACGCCAGAGCUGAUGACGGUGAGAUGAAGGAGGUGAAGACGACGACGAUGAUUGAAUAAUCUUGGAUUCAAUUUUUUUUGUUUUAAUUAAUUGGGAAAUUAAUGAAAAAGAUAAAAAGUUAAUUGAUCAUCUUAAAUGAAACAUUGGACCUUGAAGUCUAGAUUGGGAAGAAAAAGUUGGCGUAUGGCUAUCUAAGGCCAUUUCUCUUGAUUUUUUCUUUCAAUGUAAAUAAAAAUAACAAUGGUAAAAGAUAGAAAGUUGAGAAUGGUUUUAGAGGAAAAGAAACCUUGCUUUUAAACCAACUAGGAGUUAAUCCGCGCUACGCGCGGGACUAUUUUGAUUUUUAAAUGUUAACUAUAUAGUUAUUCAUUUGAACGUUGUAUUCUGAACAACAACAAAAUUCUAAAUUGUAUGUUUGUGUGAAUAGUAAUUUCUUUAGGAAAAAACAGAAGACUAUACAUUUUUCAUAUAGAUGUUUUAUAUAGUUUUCCAUUUUUUAUAUUAUAUAUUUACUUAUUAUUUAAAUUUUCUUAAUUUGUAGGGCAACUCUUUCAAAUAGUCGUUUUUAAGUUUUUGUCACAAAAUAGUCAUCAAUAAGGAAAUGACCAAAUAACCCAUUUUAUUUUGAAAAUUUAAAUAUUUCUUUUUUAUUUUUCAAACUUUGAAAUCAUAUCCACAAAACUCCACCCCGUAACUCUAAACCCUAAGUCUAGAUGUAUUUUAACUCUUUAAUAAAUGUUU